rnacentral:rRNA from 1 species
CAGCCGCCGCGGUAAUACCGGCGGCCCGAGUGGCGGUCACUAUUAUUGGGCUUAAAGCGUCCGUAGCCGGGUUGGGAAGUCCUCCGGGAAAUCUGGCCGCUUAACGGUCAGAAUGCCGGAGGAUACUCCCAGCCUAGGGAGCGGGAGAGGCCGAGGGGAUUCCCGGAGGAGGGGAGAAAUCCUAUAAUCCCGGGAGGACCACCUGUGGCGAAGGCGCUCGGCUGGAACGCGUCCGACGGGGAGGGACGAAGGCCAGGGGAGCAAACCGGAUUAGAUACCCGGGUAGUCCUGGCUGUAAACGAUGCGGACUUUGUGUCGGACAAGCUAUGAGCUUGUCCGGUGCCGGAGGGAAACCGUUAAGUCCGCCGCCUGGGGAGUACGGCCGCAAGGCUGAAACUUAAAGGAAUUGGCGGG